rnacentral:rRNA from 1 species
CUCCUUGUGAUUCAUGAUACCUCUCAGAUCGCACGGCCUUGCGCUGGCGACGGUUCAUUCAAAUUUCUGCCCUAUCAACUUUCGAUGGUAAGGUAUUGGCUUACCAUGGUUUCAACGGGUAACGGGGAAUUAGGGUUCGAUUCCGGAGAGUGAGCCUGAGAAACGGCUCACACAUCCAAGGAAGGCAGCAGGCGCGCAAAUUACCCAAUCCCGACACGGGGAGGUAGUGACAAUAAAUACUGAUACAGGGCUCUUUUGGGUCUUGUAAUUGGAAUGAGUACAAUUUAAACCUCUUAACGAGGAACAAUUGGAGGGCAAGUCUGGUGCCAGCAGCCGCGGUAAUUCCAGCUCCAAUAGCGUAUAUUAAAGUUGUUGCAGUUAAAAAGCUCGUAGUUGAAUCUUUGGCCUGGCUGGCGGGUCCGCCUCACCGCGUGCACUUGUCCGGCCGGGCCUUCUCUUCUGGAGAACCGCAUGCCCUUCACUGGGCGUGUUGGGGACCAGGACUUUUACUUUGAAAAAAUUAGAGUGUUCAAAGCAGGCCUUUGCUCGAAUACGUUAGCAUGGAAUAAUAAAAUAGGACGUGCGGUCCUAUUUUGUUGGUUUCUAGGACCGCCGUAAUGAUUAAUAGGGACAGUCGGGGGCAUCAGUAUUCAAUUGUCAGAGGUGAAAUUCUUGGAUUUAUUGAAGACUAACUACUGCGAAAGCAUUUGCCAAGGAUGUUUUCAUUAAUCAGUGAACGAAAGUUAGGGGAUCGAAGACGAUCAGAUACCGUCGUAGUCUUAACCAUAAACUAUGCCGACUAGGGAUCGGGCGGUGUUAUCGAUUGACCCGCUCGGCACCUUACGAGAAAUCAA